UUCUUUCGAUUACGGAACGGUCGAUUACGGAACGGAGAAGAAAUGAAGAAGCAAUCCAAAUGUCGACCAAAACAGAGACUAAUAGAGGCAUGCGGCAGCUUCAGUCUUCUUUGAUUGAGAUUGCUCUUGUGGGUCUUCACGCUUUCAUUGGCAAGGUUGGUGAAGUUGAGUUUUGAUCCUAGAGCCAAUGAUAACAAUAUAGCUUUUGAAGGCGUAACAAUGUGAACAAUGAAGGCAUGCGUUUUGAUCCUGGAGCCAGAACUGCUUUAACUUUUGUCACUUUGACUAGUGAAGAUAAACGAACAUGUAAAUGCUGGGAUUUCACCUGCGAAGCGGGAGGGGGGGGGGAUCUUAUACUAAUCAAGGUGAUGAUCUCUCCCAUGGGAAAAGACUCGAAGAAGUUAUAUUGUGUCUGUUGCAGAUUCUGAAGGACUUGCUUUCAUCUUUGGCCAGGUCAAAACCGUUGAAUAGACUAGCAAGAUGCGUCCACCAAUGAUGUUAGGCGGUCGCUUGUUUGGAAGAUCAUCUCUUCAAUCUGUUGGUCUCCAAAGGGAAUGCCCAACCACGUGAACAAAGGGAAGAUUUGUACCUGUUGAGCGAGAUUCGCGAAUGCUUCAUCCAUCUAGAAAGAAUGGAGCUAAAUAGUUCAAGAACAACACUGAAAUAUCAACACGUGUAAGGAAAAUCAUUGAAGGAUGUUUUAAAGGACCAUGGUACAGUUGGAGAAAAGUACCUCAGUUUUACAAGGAUGCUUGGUAUUCAACGUUUAAGACUAAGUAUGAGUGGAAUGUGGCCAUCGAAGAUCUAGUGAAAGCUAACUUUGAUGAACUAGCUGCCACUCGCCUCAAAGGAAUGGUGAGCCUUGCAAAAUCCAAAGGAGUGAAACCUGAUUGGAUUCUUUCAGAAUAUUGGAGAGUAAUGUCAGAUUACUGGAAGACACCAAAAGCCAAAGAAAAAAGUGAGAAAGCUCGACUGGCUCGUAUGUUUAACCGUGAUGGUUUGGGUCAACACGGCCACAGAUCAGGCUCACGUUCCUAUGCUAAAGUUCAAGAUAAUCUGGUGGCAAACAACGAAGACUCUUGUGAUGAAGAAAACCCACCAGAAAUCUGAUGGAACAUAUGGUGAUGAAAAAGCACGCUUAGUUGCAGAAAAAUAUGAUGCAUAUGUGCAAGAAAGAUUGUCACUGGUUGAGCCUUCUAAUGGAGAGGUUUUGACAGAUCCUCUUACUGUCGAGGAAAGAAAUGAAAUCUAUGUGAAUGUUUCUGGAAUAUCAAAACAAGGUCGGGUAUUUGGACUUGGAUCACUUCAAUGUGGAGUUUAUAUGCCACUAGAUGGUUCUACUGUUUCACCACAAGCUGUUGAAGAUGAUAGUACUUUAACUCACCGAGUCAAAGAGCUGGAGUUAGACUUGCAAAAAAGUAAUGAAGAAAAGGUUCAGUUUCAGAAUAGGACUGAAGCAAUGGAGAAAAUAUUGAUGUCUGCUUUUGGUGAAAAUGUGUUGACUCGAACAGAUACUACUACCACAGCCGUAUGAAGUUGUUUCUCAGUUUGGUGUUUUAGCUUGGUGUUUCUAGUUUGGUAUUCAUUUGGUUUUCUUUUGGUUUUCGUUAGUUUACUAAGAAGUUUCAGUUUACUUAGUAAACGAAUUGUUG